CACGUAGGCGGCUCGAUAAGUUGGAUGUGAAAGCCCCUGGCUCAACCAGGGAACUGCAUUCAAUACUGCCGAGCUUGAGACCGGUAGGGGAGUGUGGAACUUCUAGUGUAGCGGUGAAAUGCGUAGAUAUUAGAAGGAACGCCGGUGGCGAAAGCGACACUCUGGACCGGUUCUGACGCUGAGGUGCGAAAGCUAGGGGAGCAAACAGGAUUAGAUACCCUGGUAGUCC
rnacentral:rRNA from 1 species